CUCUCCAUAAGGGUGAAAUAAUGAGGUCUC
rnacentral:piRNA from 1 species